ensembl:lncRNA
UAUUAUCUCAGUUGAGUCAAUACAUUAUAAUGUAUUAAAAUGGAAAGGUACAAAAUUGAAAUAAAUACUUUCUGAUUCAUGUAUAAAUCUUUUUUUUGUCAAGAUGACUUUUAUCGUUAGUACAUGUCACAAGAAAACAUUUAAAAUGACACCAAAACAAUCAUUGAAAUCAUGGUGCGUGGAGGAAAAAGGUAAAGAAAACAACCGUUGGCUUGUUUUGGCAUGAGAUCUUGAUGCAGUUUGGGUUCCCCAAAACCAUGUGAAGGGUGGUAAAAUAAAAAUGCUCAAAACUGGCUUAAAAAAAUAAACAGGCUUUACAAAAGAAAACUCUCUUUUUUUUCUUAACCCAGCCACUUCUCUACAUGGUCUGCACUUACAAUAGAUACAUUCAUUAUUGUCCAAGGGAAGACAGCAACUGCCGUUCAAUUAAAGAGCUUGGUGGACAGGCUGAAGAAAGAUGCUGCAGCUGAAGGGGAGUAGCGUGUUCCAGAGAACGAAAAAGUCUAGAUGGUCCUCACUGAGCAUGAGGGGUGGAGGGUCUCUGGGCGAGAGGUGGAGGGAGAGGAGAGGGAGAGUCCAGAUCUGAAGCAACGGAGACCAAAGAAGGGCAUCGGCUUGGCAGUGGUCACAAGGGGCCCGGGCAUCUCUCCUGCCUGAGCAGUCCUGGGCUUGUCCCCAGCCUGGGAACAUUGCUCUGUUCUGUCAGUGAGAGGUGAACCCUGGGCUUUGGAGCCAGGCCUUAGGCUCUUAUCAGGCACAGCAGCAAUGGGGAGACGGGGCGGGCCUCCCUCGGAUGAAUGCCACACACAGAGGGGCUUCUCAACAGUUCUGACUGCUUAUUAGGUGGUCAUUAAGGCAAUAAGGACUUUAGCAAACUAGAGGUUAAGGGCAGCUAAAUUCAGCCAGAUUGAACGUAAACAAAAGGUGAGAAGGGGUCUCUUUCUCCUCAGCUACCUGUCCCCCAAGUGCAAGGGGGCCUGGCCUCCUGAAGCUGAAUUUACAGUACACAGUAGCGGAGGGCUUGCCCUUUGGAAAGAAGGCUCCGUGGAAAGAAGGCUUGUCCCUGACUUGGGGCAACUUAACCAAGUUUCUACUCUCCACAUCUCUCUCCUGGGCUCACUCAGCUGGCGAGCAGAAGGCCAGGCACCAAGGUUCAUGGCAGAAGUCAGGUCAAGACCCCUGCUAGCAACCACCUGGCCCAUCCCAGUGACCUGGAACACCAUGGGGCCUGCAAAGCCCGGCCUGGUGAUUGCACACCCCAUGAGGCCUAUGCUCAGCUGGAGAAGAGGACAAGCAUUUCAGGGUUCUGGAAUGGUCCCUCAAAGCAGAUGGAAAGAUAGCAACACAGCCAUGGGGAUGUGGAGUCCUGGGUGGCCUCUGAGGGGAUGAAAGAAGCUCCUUUGACUUGGAUCCACUCACAAAGUUGCAGAAGACAGAAGAGUGCAGAGGGGAGAGCCUUCUCCUUCCUUUGUGCUCUGGAGGAAGGACACAGAGUCACCUUGGAAUAAAGCUGAGGAGACAGGAAGCUCAGAGCUGCCUGCUGUUUGGGGUCAACUUCAGGCAAGAAGCUGGGUGAGCUGGCAGCUGCAAGGUCCUGGCGCUGAUGAAGAGGCUCUCAGAUGAUUGCUGCCAAAGAGCCACCUACCUACUCCUGCCGGUGCAGCACCCGUGAGCUUGGGAAGGCAGACAGGAGCCCUUCUAUCCUCCAGACUGAGAUGGCAGGCUGGGGAGUGCUCUCCAAGAGAUGCCUUGGGCCUGCGGCUGCAGUAGCAUGGAGACCCUGUGCCCUAGUUACUCAGGACGCCCUGAGCGUGGGACAUCCCUGAGGACGAGAUGUGCACUAGGAGAAAAGUCAGUCGUAAUGACCAGUCAUCUGUGCACCAGUUCCCUGCCUGACUUUUCUCUGGUGCAAGCUAUCUUAUUUUGUGGGCAAUAUAUUAUGCAGGACUCUAAGAACUAUAAUAAUAAAGAAAAUGUGAUCAUCAAGCUGUGGGGAUGUGAACAAAACAGGAUCGGCCAUGAGACAGUAAUCACUGUUGAAGUGGAUUGAUAGACCCAUGGGACUUCCUUGGGCAAUUCUACUGUAAUACGUGUUCAAAUAUUGUCUAAUGUAUCCACAAUACAAAACAAGUCUUCUUGGAGGUUAUGUAGCUUAAUUCCCCAUUUUACAGACGGAAUUCGGUGGGCAAGGGCCCAAAGUCACACAGAUUUCCUGCAGAGACAGUAGUACAAGAAACCAGUCAUCUUUUGGCAGGGAUUGGGAUAUUUUGGCUGGAUUCACAUUUGUCACUCAAUGUCAUGCUCUGCUCUUACCACUUUCAGAAGCAGGCUGUGAUCUUUAGAACUGCUGCCAACCAGCCUUGGGAACAUGAUGCUGAUGGCAAGCUUCCUUUCUUGCUUUGCUCAGCUUACAGACACCCAUCUGGGGAGCUCAGUGGAGCCAGCACCUUGGGCCUGGGUGUUACUGUGAGCAGCAAACAUGACCCUACGGACUCGAGGUUUAGAAAGCCAGUUGGAACAGACAAAAACUGAAAACCUGCUAUGAUGGCAAUGCCAGCUGUGUAGAAAGAGCGCACAGAGGCCGACCGCAGUGUGCACCCGUUAGGCGCCAUUCAGCAGGUGUGGAUGAGAGGAAUGGAUUAGGACAGUGGGGUCCUGAAACAGCAUAGGUCCAAAUUCUAACAUGUUCUCUAAUUUUAGAAAGAGAGAUCAUAAUUAUAAUCAUUAUUAUUCAUAUCAAGCAAAUUAGCUUUAGGACCUAUGGCCCUGACUUGGAGGUCAUGACGGUAGUUUCUUUUCUGGUUAAUUGGCCAAUUCCCCUCUCUAGUAGAGCCACCAGGGGGCACUCUGUAGCCAAGACAUUUUGAGAGGCAAAACCAUCUCCCCCUACCAGUGAUGGUGAACCUUUUCGAGCUUUCAAAGAUAACAAAGAGCCUGCUGCAGCUGUGCUUGGGUUCACCAUCACUGCACCCCAUCCCUCAUCUGAGGGGAUCAAAGCAAUUACCGUACUGGCCCACCCCUUUUCAGGGGAAACACCACCAAGCAAGGACACUAAAGGUCCUUCCCGAGCCCUGCCUGUGGCUCAGGCUUUUUGUCAGCCCAGUUGGGGGCCUGGUAAGGGUGGGGAGUUUUGCAUUUUGAGAGGAGGGAGAGAGCCGAAGAGCUGGAUGGCAUCCUUUGAAGGAGUAAAGCCCUUUAAAAAGUUUGAUGUCUUUCCUGUACUUUAAUUGGAAUAAAAGACAGCUCUCCUCUUAAGAAGAAAAAGGCUCCUCAGAACUGGAGUCUAGGGAAAGGGAGGCAGGACUCAUAGGCCCUUCUCCGGGAUGUGACACAGUAAGAAUCGAGGGGGGCCUUGAGAGCAAAUCACAGACUCUGAUCCAAAAACUCAAAGGAACAUACACAUUCUAGAUGAGAUCUUUGUGAGCUGGAGGAGGGGGAGAGGAUACAAACCCCAGAGUCCUUCCAAAGGGAAACAGGCCAGAAGCCGGAGCUUCCAAGUUCCGUGAGGGAGGAAUGGUGGCCAGGAACCCUGCCAGCACUUUUAGGAAGAUGAUACUCAAAGAAAUUCCCAGCUCUGCCAUUUUGUGUGAGGAAAAUAUGCUUUGGCUGCUGGUGGUUCAGUGGAGAUAAAAGUUAACAGAGGGAGGCACAUAAAAAACAAAACCAAAGGAAUUUGUAGUAAGCAUUAUGAAGAUUUGCCUGGAUUAAAUAGUUGUGAGUUGGCUAAAACAGAUUACUAAGAGGGACUGGGAAUAUUCUCUUGGGGUGGCCAGAGGCCUCAAGAGUGAAGAUAUCCAAGAAGGGAGGGAUGAAGAGAACAAGGGAAGGAGAAAUGGCCGGGAGAGGGUGGGAAGAUGGAUGGAUGGUCAAACCGCUUUGUGAUUAUUUAGAAAAAUCUGUCUCAGCAGGAGACUUAGGAAGGCCAGGUUAUAGAUUUAGAUUCUCCCAUUUCUUAUUGUUGUCCCUCUCUUCCUUAUUCCUCAGAAAUCCAGGUAAACGCGACGUCAGCUCAUUCGUCAUCCCAAAUGCUAGUCUUCUUAGCUUGGCUUACACAGGGCCAGGAUGGGACAACAGGGAGCGUGCGUGUGUGUUCACACUGAUUAUGAUCACCGGGAAAAUGAACUCUUUUCCUUCCCAGGGAUUUAUAUCAAGCCUGGUGGUUGGGAAAAUAUCAUCCGAAUUUCCCAAAUUAAAAUGAAGGCUCUGAGCCAGUGUUUACCAAAUAGCAGAGGGACCCAGUCUGAGACUUGGGAGGCAGUUUCUGAUGAAGUCCUGUUCUAGCUAUGUCUCUCUGGCACAUCCCUUCCCUCUCUGGGCUCCAUGCUCCCCCAUGUGAAUGGACGAGGCUGGGCACAUGAGAUGCUGUCGCUCUGGAAUAGGCAUGAAUGGGUGGGAGCUGGAUUCUGGGAUCCUGAAGAUCUCUAGAGCCUCAAAUGCAGAGAGGUGAUCCUGCUCCUGGCAAGGGGCGAGCAAACUUUCCAGAAGGUUCCAGUGUCAGCGCAUUGCUUCUCCAGGAGGAGAGAAGCCUGCCUGCCAUGUCUCUGUGGAACUACGCAGCUUUGCAGUCAAGCUUGAAUCUGAGGAAAAGUAGGAAAUGCUUUCGAACUGAAUGAAAGUUCAGUGUAUUUUGAAAGACAUCUGACCGCAAUAAUGGGCAAUAAUAUGACCAACCUUCAUAGCUGCAUACAUCACUGAGAUGUGCAAUGCCCACAAGAAAGAGGGUGCUUGUGAAGCCUUUGAGCUCUGAGCUCUUGACUUUGAGGAGGGAGAAACGUGGAACAUCCAAGCGCUGGUCCACUUGGUUGGCCAUAGGAUGGACAGUUCACUACAAAGCCAUUAAGCCCAAGAGCCUGAAAAGACUGGCUGUAGCCACAGCCUGAGGAGGAGGGAGUACCCCAUCUGCAGAGGGGUGCACUGUUCAGUCAGACCAGUGUCUGAGAAAGUCGGCCCUGGAAAUAUCUACCUGGAUGCUUCUAACACCAACUGUGCAUGUUGGUUCCUAGACAUGGGGGGAGAGAGGAGGUGUCUAUUGAAAUUUGGGGUGGGAAAAUACAGAAUAGCAUACUCUUAGCAUUCCCAUGGGAAAAACAAGUCCAUAGGUUCUGAGGAAAGACAGGAUCUGGGACAGGGACUCAACUCCUUUGACCAGAGAUAUUGCCUAAAAAUUCUGUCUCCUUCCAAGUUGUGCAGGAGCUCCCCGGGGAUAAGAGGACUGUGGGUCCCAGGCUCAUCUUGAACUAGGACAGGACCUGGCCUUUGAGACAUGUCUUUCCCCUGAGCACAUCCGACGUCCAAAGGAGCAGAGGGGAUCCUGCAAGCUUUGUCCCCAACCACAGGGCGAUUCAGUCUCUUAGGUAGUUAAGGAUCCACCUUUUGCUUUAAGUGUACUAAAGACCCAAGAAAAUGUAGUUGCUUCUCCCUGCUCCCCACACUGCCCUUUCUAACCCUACCGAUGAGGAAACAGAGGCACAACGAAGUCACCAAGUUUUCUGCAGUCUUGCACGGAUCUGGCCACACUCUGGCAAGAAAGCCUACAAGGGAUGUAUACGUCCCUUUCUGAAUCCUUCCAUAUCUUCCCUUGCCUUUCUGCUUAAUUCACAUUUAAAGUCUGUCUGCUGUCUAUCUGUCUAUAAUAUAGCAUAUGUACUAUUAUAUAUAAAAUAUAAAUAACUCUUAGUUUCCUGCUUACCUUCCUGUCCUUUUCUUCUUCUUUAUAUAACUAGGACUUGAAAAAAAACCCAAACAAAACAAAACAAGAAAAGAGCUGUUCCGAGACAAGGGAGAGCCACAGGACUGCUCGAAGGAUGACCUCCAGAAGGAGAUGGCAGCCCUUGUCCACAGGCCUGCGUGCUUCACAUCUGGGCUGCUCAGCAAUUGGGUGGAAUACAGUUCAACAGAAAUCAGCAAUGGAGACACCUGUGCCAGAUGAAGUGAACUUCCACAACCUGGUUUUAAGGAACAGUAAAUACAAUAGAGACAGAUAGAUACACUAUGUUGAGUCUUCAAUACUAAAGCAAGUUAUAAAUAGAAUUAUGCUAAAUUAAAGAAGACAAACAUCAUUGGGAAUAGUCUGGUC